rnacentral:rRNA from 1 species
GAUGAACGCUGGCGGCAGGCCUAACACAUGCAAGUCGAGCGAGCGGCGGACGGGUGAGUAAUGUCUGGGAAACCGCCCGAUGGAGGAGGGUAACCACUGGAAACGGUAGCCAAUACCGCAUAUCAUCGGAUGUUCCCAGGUGGGAUUAGCUAGUAGGUGGGGUAACGGCGUACCUAGGCGACGAUCCCUAGCUGAUCUGAGCGGAUGACCAGCCACACUGGAACUGAGACACGGUCCAGACUCCUACGGGAGGCAGCAGUGGGGAAUAUUGCACAAUGGGCGCAAGCCUGACGCAGCCAUGCCGCGUGUGUGAUGAAGGCCUUCGGGUUGUAAAGCACUGUCAGUGGGGAGGCGGUACCCGCACAAGAAGCCACGGCUAACUCCGUGCCAGCCGCCGCGGUAAUUC